GACGAACGCUGGCGGCGUGCCUAAUACAUGCAAGUAGAACGCUGAAGAGAGGAGCUUGCUCUUCUUGGAUGAGUUGCGAACGGGUGAGUAACGCGUAGGUAACCUGCCUUGUAGCGGGGAUAACUAUUGGAAACGAUAGCUAAUACCGCAUAACAAUGGAUGACACAUGUCAUUUAUUUGAAAGGGGCAAUUGCUCCACUACAAGAUGGACCUGCGUUGUAUUAGCUAGUAGGUGAGGUAACGGCUCACCUAGGCGACGAUACAUAGCCGACCUGAGAGGGUGAUCGGCCACACUGGGACUGAGACACGGCCCAGACUCCUACGGGAGGCAGCAGUAGGGAAUCUUCGGCAAUGGGGGCAACCCUGACCGAGCAACGCCGCGUGAGUGAAGAAGGUUUUCGGAUCGUAAAGCUCUGUUGUAAGUCAAGAACGAGUGUGAGAGUGGAAAGUUCACACUGUGACGGUAGCUUACCAGAAAGGGACGGCUAACUACGUGCCAGCAGCCGCGGUAAUACGUAGGUCCCGAGCGUUGUCCGGAUUUAUUGGGCGUAAAGCGAGCGCAGGCGGUUUGAUAAGUCUGAAGUUAAAGGCUGUGGCUCAACCAUAGUUCGCUUUGGAGACUGUCAAACUUGAGUGCAGAAGGGGAGAGUGGAAUUCCAUGUGUAGCGGUGAAAUGCGUAGAUAUAUGGAGGAACACCGGUGGCGAAAGCGGCUCUCUGGUCUGUAACUGACGCUGAGGCUCGAAAGCGUGGGGAGCGAACAGG
rnacentral:rRNA from 1 species